GACGAACGCUGGCGGCGUGCUUAACACAUGCAAGUCGUACGACAGCAUUUCCUUUUAGGCUGUGUUUGGAGUGGCGAACGGGUGAGUAACACGUGAGUGACCUGCCCUUCACUUUGGGAUAACGUGCGGAAACGUGCGCUAAUACCAAAUAUUCGCAUUUCUGCUGCAUGGUGGGGUGUGGAAAGGGGCCUUCGGGUUCGUGGUGGGGGAGUGGGCGUCGCGGCCGUAUCAGCUGUGUUGGUGGGGUGGAUGG
rnacentral:rRNA from 1 species